GGGUUGUGAGGUUAAGCGACUAAGCGUACACGGUGGAUGCCCUGGCAGUCAGAGGCGAUGAAGGGCGUGCUAAUCUGCGAUAAGCGCCGGUAAGGUGAUAUGAACCGUUAUAACCGGCGAUACCCGAAUGGGGAAACCCAGUGUGAUUCGUCACACUAUCAUUAACUGAAUCCAUAGGUUAAUGAGGCGAACCGGGGGAACUGAAACAUCUAAGUACCCCGAGGAAAAGAAAUCAACCGAGAUUCCCCCAGUAGCGGCGAGCGAACGGGGAGGAGCCCAGAGCCUGAAUCAGCAUGUGUGUUAGUGGAAGCGUCUGGAAAGGCGCGCGAUACAGGGUGACAGCCCCGUACACAAAAGCGCAUGUGCUGUGAGCUCGAUGAGUAGGGCGGGACACGUGGUAUCCUGUCUGAAUAUGGGGGGACCAUCCUCCAAGGCUAAAUACUCCUGACUGACCGAUAGUGAACCAGUACCGUGAGGGAAAGGCGAAAAGAACCCCGGCGAGGGGAGUGAAAAAGAACCUGAAACCGUGUACGUACAAGCAGUGGGAGCCCCACCACUAAGCCAGUGGUGAACUCCACAUACGCAUCCUUUGCUGAGGAUACGGUUAACGGAGCGAAAGCGACGUUCAACCGCAAAAGAAGCAGAGGGGGCUUAGUGGUGGGGUGACUGCGUACCUUUUGUAUAAUGGGUCAGCGACUUAUAUUCUGUAGCAAGGUUAACCGAAUAGGGGAGCCGGAGGGAAACCGAGUCUUAAUUGGGCGUUAAGUUGCAGGGUAUAGACCCGAAACCCGGUGAUCUAGCCAUGGGCAGGUUGAAGGUUGGGUAACACUAACUGGAGGACCGAACCGACUAAUGUUGAAAAAUUAGCGGAUGACCUGUGGCUGGGGGUGAAAGGCCAAUCAAACCGGGAGAUAGCUGGUUCUCCCCGAAAGCUAUUUAGGUAGCGCCUCGUGAAUUCAUCUCCGGGGGUAGAGCACUGUUUCGGCUAGGGGGCCAUCCCGGCUUACCAACCCGAUGCAAACUGCGAAUACCGGAGAAUGUUAUCACGGGAGACACACGGCGGGUGCUAACGUCCGUCGUGAAGAGGGAAACAACCCAGACCGCCAGCUAAGGUCCCAAAGUCAUGGUUAAGUGGGAAACGAUGUGGGAAGGCCCAGACAGCCAGGAUGUUGGCUUAGAAGCAGCCAUCAUUUAAAGAAAGCGUAAUAGCUCACUGGUCGAGUCGGCCUGCGCGGAAGAUGUAACGGGGCUAAACCAUGCACCGAAGCUGCGGCAGCGAACGUAUCACUUAAAGCGAUUCAGCGGGUUACGAUUGACGGAGCGAAGCGACGUCAAAGCGUAUACAAAGUCGAGUCGGUUUAAGGAUACGUUCGUUGGGUAGGGGAGCGUUCUGUAAGCCUGCGAAGGUGGCCUGUGAGGGUUGCUGGAGGUAUCAGAAGUGCGAAUGCUGACAUAAGUAACGAUAAAGCGGGUGAAAAGCCCGCUCGCCGGAAGACCAAGGGUUCCUGUCCAACGUUAAUCGGGGCAGGGUGAGUCGACCCCUAAGGCGAGGCCGAAAGGCGUAGUCGAUGGGAAACGGGUUAAUAUUCCCGUACUUGGUGUUACUGCGAAGGGGGGACGGAGAAGGCUAUGUUGGCCGGGCGACGGUUGUCCCGGUUUAAGCGUGUAGGUGUGUGUUCCAGGUAAAUCCGGUUCACUUUAACACUGAGGCGUGAUGACGAGGCACUACGGUGCUGAAGCAACAAAUGCCCUGCUUCCAGGAAAAGCCUCUAAGCAUCAGGUAACAUCAAAUCGUACCCCAAACCGACACAGGUGGUCAGGUAGAGAAUACCAAGGCGCUUGAGAGAACUCGGGUGAAGGAACUAGGCAAAAUGGUGCCGUAACUUCGGGAGAAGGCACGCUGACACGUAGGUGAAGUGAUUUACUCAUGGAGCUGAAGUCAGUCGAAGAUACCAGCUGGCUGCAACUGUUUAUUAAAAACACAGCACUGUGCAAACACGAAAGUGGACGUAUACGGUGUGACGCCUGCCCGGUGCCGGAAGGUUAAUUGAUGGGGUCAGCGCAAGCGAAGCUCCUGAUCGAAGCCCCGGUAAACGGCGGCCGUAACUAUAACGGUCCUAAGGUAGCGAAAUUCCUUGUCGGGUAAGUUCCGACCUGCACGAAUGGCGUAAUGAUGGCCAGGCUGUCUCCACCCGAGACUCAGUGAAAUUGAACUCGCUGUGAAGAUGCAGUGUACCCGCGGCAAGACGGAAAGACCCCGUGAACCUUUACUAUAGCUUGACACUGAACAUUGAGCCUUGAUGUGUAGGAUAGGUGGGAGGCUUUGAAGUGUGGACGCCAGUCUGCAUGGAGCCGACCUUGAAAUACCACCCUUUAAUGUUUGAUGUUCUAACGUGGACCCGUAAUCCGGGUUGCGGACAGUGUCUGGUGGGUAGUUUGACUGGGGCGGUCUCCUCCUAAAGAGUAACGGAGGAGCACGAAGGUUGGCUAAUCCUGGUCGGACAUCAGGAGGUUAGUGCAAUGGCAUAAGCCAGCUUGACUGCGAGCGUGACGGCGCGAGCAGGUGCGAAAGCAGGUCAUAGUGAUCCGGUGGUUCUGAAUGGAAGGGCCAUCGCUCAACGGAUAAAAGGUACUCCGGGGAUAACAGGCUGAUACCGCCCAAGAGUUCAUAUCGACGGCGGUGUUUGGCACCUCGAUGUCGGCUCAUCACAUCCUGGGGCUGAAGUAGGUCCCAAGGGUAUGGCUGUUCGCCAUUUAAAGUGGUACGCGAGCUGGGUUUAGAACGUCGUGAGACAGUUCGGUCCCUAUCUGCCGUGGGCGCUGGAGAACUGAGGGGGGCUGCUCCUAGUACGAGAGGACCGGAGUGGACGCAUCACUGGUGUUCGGGUUGUCAUGCCAAUGGCACUGCCCGGUAGCUAAAUGCGGAAGAGAUAAGUGCUGAAAGCAUCUAAGCACGAAACUUGCCCCGAGAUGAGUUCUCCCUGAGACUUAGAGUCUCCUGAAGGAACGUUGAAGACGACGACGUUGAUAGGCCGGGUGUGUAAGCGCAGCGAUGCGUUGAGCUAACCGGUACUAAUGAACCGUGAGGCUUAACCUUACAACGCCGAAG
rnacentral:rRNA from 1 species